rnacentral:tRNA from 1 species
GCUCCCAUAACUCAGCUUGGACAGAGUGCCAGCCUUAUAAGCUGGAAGUCGCGGGUCCGAAGCCCGCUGGGAGCA